GAUGAACGCUGGCGGCGUGCCUAAUACAUGCAAGUCGAGCGAACAGACGAGGAGCUUACUCCUCUGACGUUAGCGGCGGACGGGUGAGUAACACGUGGAUAACCUACCUAUAAGACUGGGAUAACUUCGGGAAACCGGAGCUAAUACCGGAUAACAUCUUGAACCACAUGGUUCAACAGUGAAAGACGCUCUUGCUGUCCCUUAUAGAUAGAUCCGCGUCGCAUUAGCUAGUUGGUAAGGUAACGGCUUACCAAGGCAACGAUGCGUAGCCGACCUGAGAGGGUGAUCGGCCACACUGGAACUGAGACACGGUCCAGACUCCUACGGGAGGCAGCAGUAGGGAAUCUUCCGCAAUGGGCGAAAGCCUGACGGAGCAACGCCGCGUGAGUGAAGAAGGUCUUCGGAUCGUAAAACUCUGUUAUUAGGGAAGAACAAAUGUGUAAGUAACUAUGCACGUAUUGACGGUACCUAAUCAGAAAGCCACGGCUAACUACGUG
rnacentral:rRNA from 1 species